rnacentral:rRNA from 1 species
GACGAACGCUGGCGGCGUGCCUAACACAUGCAAGUCGAACGGGACCUUUAGUAAUAGAGGUUUAGUGGCGGAAGGGUGAGUAACGCGUGGGUAACCUGCCCUAUACAGGGGGAUAACACCGGGAAACCGGUGCUAAUACCGCAUAAGAUUCUCUGGUGGCAUCAUUGGAGGGUCAAAGGAGAAAUCCGGUAUGGGAUGGGCCCGCGUCCGAUUAGCUGGUUGGUGAGGUAAAAGCUCACCAAGGCGACGAUCGGUAGCCGAACUGAGAGGUUGAUCGGCCACAUUGGGACUGAGACACGGCCCAGACUCCUACGGGUGGCUG